rnacentral:miRNA from 1 species
UUCCAGAAGAUCUAGUGGGGAAAAGGGAUUUAUGGUAUGAGAGACAGGGUCCUGUCAUUGAGGUCAGGUGAUCUGGGAGCAAACUCCAGCUCUACU